UGCCCAGCAACGCCUAUCCCUACCUCCUCGUGGUACUGGCCGAGGUAAGAGUAACCUUAGGGAAGAUCUGGUAACCAACCCAGGUGGUAACUUUGGUCGUAUGCUGACAGGAAAGG
rnacentral:ribozyme from 1 species